CUUUCUCCUUAAAAGUCACCCAACAACUCCUUCCUGUUCAUCUUUUCAGACCUGAUAGUUUCUUCUACAAGUCUUCCCACCUUUCACCUUACUGCAUGGCAUGCACAAGGUCUUAAGGAACCUCUAUACCCAACAGAGGAGAACACUAUGACAACAGCUGGACUUCUCUACAACAGAGCGGCCCUUCUAGUCUGAGCCCCUUCUGACCCAGGAU
rnacentral:lncRNA from 1 species